rnacentral:rRNA from 1 species
UUGACGAACGCUGGCGGCGUGCUUAACACAUGCAAGUCGAACGGAAAGGCCCUGCUUUUGUGGGGUGCUCGAGUGGCGAACGGGUGAGUAACACGUGAGUAACCUGCCCUUGACUUUGGGAUAACUUCAGGAAACUGGGGCUAAUACCGGAUAGGAGCUCCUGCUGCAUGGUGGGGGUUGGAAAGUUUCGGCGGUUGGGGAUGGACUCGCGGCUUAUCAGCUUGUUGGUGGGGUAGUGGCUUACCAAGGCUUUGACGGGUAGCCGGCCUGAGAGGGUGACCGGCCACAUUGGGACUGAGAUACGGCCCAGACUCCUACGGGAGGCAGCAGUGGGGAAUAUUGCACAAUGGGCGGAAGCCUGAUGCAGCAACGCCGCGUGCGGGAUGACGGCCUUCGGGUUGUAAACCGCUUUCGCCUGUGACGAAGCGUGAGUGACGGUAAUGGGUAAAGAAGCACCGGCUAACUACGUGCCAGCAGCCGCGGUGAUACGUAGGGUGCGAGCGUUGUCCGGAUUUAUUGGGCGUAAAGGGCUCGUAGGUGGUUGAUCGCGUCGGAAGUGUAAUCUUGGGGCUUAACCCUGAGCGUGCUUUCGAUACGGGUUGACUUGAGGAAGGUAGGGGAGAAUGGAAUUCCUGGUGGAGCGGUGGAAUGCGCAGAUAUCAGGAGGAACACCAGUGGCGAAGGCGGUUCUCUGGGCCUUUCCUGACGCUGAGGAGCGAAAGCGUGGGGAGCGAACAGGCUUAGAUACCCUGGUAGUCCACGCUGUAAACGGUGGGUACUAGGUGUGGGGUCCAUUCCACGGGUUCCGUGCCGUAGCUAACGCUUUAAGUACCCCGCCUGGGGAGUACGGCCGCAAGGCUAAAACUCAAAGGAAUUGACGGGGCCCCGCACAAGCGGCGGAGCAUGCGGAUUAAUUCGAUGCAACGCGUAGAACCUUACCUGGGUUUGACAUGGAUCGGGAGUGCUCAGAGAUGGGUGUGCCUCUUUUGGGGUCGGUUCACAGGUGGUGCAUGGCUGUCGUCAGCUCGUGUCGUGAGAUGUUGGGUUAAGUCCCGCAACGAGCGCAACCCUUGUUCACUGUUGCCAGCACGUUAUGGUGGGGACUCAGUGGAGACCGCCGGGGUCAACUCGGAGGAAGGUGGGGAUGACGUCAAGUCAUCAUGCCCCUUAUGUCCAGGGCUUCACGCAUGCUACAAUGGCUGGUACAGAGAGUGGCGAGCCUGUGAGGGUGAGCGAAUCUCGGAAAGCCGGUCUCAGUUCGGAUUGGGGUCUGCAACUCGACCUCAUGAAGUCGGAGUCGCUAGUAAUCGCAGAUCAGCAACGCUGCGGUGAAUACGUUCCCGGGGCUUGUACACACCGCCCGUCAAGUCAUGAAAGUUGGUAACACCCGAAGCCGGUGGCCUAACCGUUGUGGGGGAGCCGUCGAAGGUGG